CCGCCGGCGAGUGGCAAACGGGUGAGUAAUACAUCGGAACGUGCCCAGUAGUGGGGGAUAGCCCGGCGAAAGCCGGAUUAAUACCGCAUACGACCUACGGGUGAAAGCGGGGGACCGAAAGGCCUCGCGCUAUUGGAGCGGCCGAUGGCUGAUUAGCUAGUUGGUGGGGUAAAGGCUCACCAAGCCGACGAUCUAUAGCUGGUCUGAGAGGACGACCAGCCACACUGGAACUGAGACACGGUCCAGACUCC
rnacentral:rRNA from 1 species